CAGUGAGGAAGUGCGGUAAAAAAUAAAUAACCUCACUGGGAAAUAUAGGAAAGAAAAGGGGAAUAUUGGUGUGUCAGGUGGAUCACCAUCAGACUGGCCACACUAUCAGCGAGUACAUGCCAUUAUAGGUGGUUUUAAAUGCAAUAACAUAGAAGAACUUGUUGAAGAAAGUGUAUCCAUAGAGUAUUUAUUUAACACUCCAUCGUCGGAAGUACUGGACAUUUCUGGGGCUUCCUGCUCUGACUCCCUCGCUCCGGUAGAGGUCGAGUGUGCUAGAUGCUCCAAAUCGAAAAAGCAGAAGUUAAACGCAAGUCUCAUAACGGAAAUUCAAGAGACGAAAGAGCUAAUAAAAACAAUGCAUCAGGAAGAAAACGUUAUCGAUUCAAAAUUAGUUAAUAUAGAGGAGCGACGGAAUGUUUUGUUAGAAGAAUUUCUUUGAGAUGACCAAAUGCAUUCUCGACUACCCUUCUGCACUUAGACAGGGCAUAAUUAAAGUUUUUUUCACUGAAGCUAGCAUUCUCUCUAUAUGGAUAAGGUUUCAUUAAUAUGUCCGAAAACCGAAAAGCUGAAUCUCCAAGCAUUACAACUGGAACGUUAACUCCGUUUAUUUGCGUAGACAAGUGCGUAAGGAUAGGGUUUUGAUGAUGCUGUUUCAAAGCAGAUUUCUCGAAAAUGUGGGAAUCGUUGCACCGUCCAGGGGUGCCUACGUUUAUAUACAUAAAUCUGUACCUAUAAUAAACAAUGUGAGCAUUUACU